CCUACGGGAGGCAGCAGUGGGGAAUACUGCACAAUGGGCGCAAGCCUGAUGCAGCCAUGCCGCGUGUGUGAAGAAGGCCUUCGGGUUGUAAAGCACUUUCAGCGGGGAGGAAGGCGGUGAGGUUAAUAACCUCAUCGAUUGACGUUACCCGCAGAAGAAGCACCGGCUAACUCCGUGCCAGCAGCCGCGGUAAUACGGAGGGUGCAAGCGUUAAUCGGAAUUACUGGGCGUAAAGCGCACGCAGGCGGUCUGUCAAGUCGGAUGUGAAAUCCCCGGGCUCAACCUGGGAACUGCAUUCGAAACUGGCAGGCUAGAGUCUUGUAGAGGGGGGUAGAAUUCCAGGUGUAGCGGUGAAAUGCGUAGAGAUCUGGAGGAAUACCGGUGGCGAAGGCGGCCCCCUGGACAAAGACUGACGCUCAGGUGCGAAAGCGUGGGGAGCAAACAGGAUUAGAUACCCUUGUAGUC
rnacentral:rRNA from 1 species